UNGUACCUUGACGUCUAAAGCCAAUAUAUCU
rnacentral:piRNA from 1 species